rnacentral:rRNA from 2 species
CAUUGGAGACUUUGCGAAACCUAAAGGCGAAAUGAAAGUGAAGGCUCCGCCUCGCGCGAGCCGAGGGAGGAUGGGCCGCUGCUCCGGCGCGGCCCCGCACUCCCGGGGCGUCUCGUUCUCAUCGCGAGAAGAGGCGCACCCAGAGCGUACACGCUGGGACCCGAAAGAUGGUGAACUAUGCCUGGUCAAGACGAAGUCAGGGGAAACCCUGAUGGAGGUCCGCAGCGAUUCUGACGUGCAAAUCGAUCGCUUGAAUUGGGUAUAGGGGCGAAAGACUAAUCGAACCAUCUAGUAGCUGGUUCCCUCCGAAGUUUCCCUCAGGAUAGCUGGCGCUCGCGUUGCGAGUCUCAUCCGGUAAAGCGAAUGAUUAGAGGCAUUGGGGUCGAAACGGCUUCAACCUAUUCUCAAACUUUAAAUGGGUGAGAUCUCCGGCUUGCUCGAACGUGAAGCCGCGAGAUAUGGGGCGGGGCGCGUUCCGCGCACCCGUCGCGUGUCGGAUCAGACGUGCCAAGUGGGCCACUUUUGGUAAGCAGAACUGGCGCUGUGGGAUGAACCAAACGCCGAGUUAAAGCGCCUAAAUCGACGCUUAUGGGAUACCAUGAAAGGCGUUGGUA